rnacentral:misc_RNA from 1 species
CCCAGUGUACGUUCCGGCAGUACCCUGGGGGACAUAGACCCUAUGAGCAUUAGUGGUAGCAGCGUAGGAUGUCAUAGAACCACGAUUACUGUUGCAUGUUCUGAACUAUCAUUCAGUUGCAUGUACAGCAUUAACCCGACCAGGCUGUGUGACUAACGUCAAUAGGUAUUCUAACCCUAGCAAUACCGUUUCUUGGAGCUAGUACAGCAUGGCUAAGCAAGAUUUAUCGGGUGAUAUUCCUGGUGCUACUAUAUAAGGCUGAACAAUAUAUAGGGGAGAUAUUUAUAUACGAAAGGAUUACAAUAUAACAAGAACGACACCUCUGUUAUAAAGGCUGACAGACAAACUCAAACUAAUACCAUUCAUAACCUCUCCAUUUCUAUAACUAAUAAUUACAUCUUUUAUCGCCGUAUUUAAUGCUUCUAUAUGCGCAUGAUGUAAGCCCUUCACCCCUAUAUAUAAUUCUUCAUCCCAACACGGCAGCCAUCGUGUUACGAUUAGUUGUGUUGCUUUGCCGGUGCAUACAGCCACUCGUGGCCAAUCACUGCUAUACUCGACUCAAGUGCAGGCACCUCCGACACUCCAACAUGGCGGAACCGCGAGCGUUGCUCAUCCUAGCAGAGGGAGCCGAGGAGAUGGAGGCUGUCAUUACAGCAGACGUGCUGCGAAGGGGAGGCGUCAACGUCACCAUUGCAGGCCUGGCCGGAGCUGACCCGGUCACCUGCAGCCGCAACGUCGUCAUCAAACCGGACGCAAGCCUCGACGACGCGACGAAAACCGGCAAGUACGACGUCGUCGUCCUCCCCGGCGGGCUAGGAGGCGCCCAGAGACUCGCGGCGUCGUCCCGCGUGGGGGCGCUGCUGAAGGUGCAGGAGGCGGGCGGCGGCCUGAUCGCGGCGAUCUGCGCGGGACCGACGGCUCUCCCUGCGCACGGCGUCGCGGCGGGCAGGAAGCUGACGAGUCAUCCGUCCGUGCGGGAGCAGCUCGCCGCCGCGGGGUACGCGUACAGCGAGGAUCGCGUCGUUAGGGACGGGCAGCUGCUAACGAGCCGAGGGCCGGGGACGACGUUUGAGUUUGCGCUCGCGUUGGUGGAGGCGCUGCAGGGAGCGGAGCGCAGGGACUCGCUCGUCCCACCAAUGUUGCUGAAGCUGUGAGCUAUACAGGCAUGGAAGCCCACGGCGAUUGCUGAAGAUGCUAGAUAGACAGAUAUUAAUAUCUCCAAAUGUAGCUGAAGCUGUGAGCUAUACAGGGAUGGAAGCCCACGACGAUUGUUGAAGAUGCUAGACAGACAAACAUUAAUAUCUCCAAAUGUAGCUGAAGCUGUGAGCUAUACAGUGAUGGCAGCCCAUGACGAUUGCUGAAGAUGCUAGAUAGACAGAUAUUAAUAUCUCCAAAUGUAGCUGAAGCUGUGAGCUAUACAGUGAUGGAAGCCCACGACGAUAGCUGAAGAUGCUAGAUAGACAGAUAUUAAUAUCUCCAAAUGUAGCUGAAGCUGUGAGCUAUACAGAGAUGGAAGCACAUGACGAUUGUUGAUGAUGCUAGUUAGACAGAUAUUAAUAUCUCCAAAUGUAGCUGAAGCUGUGAGCUAUACAGCGAUGGAAGCCCAUGACGAUUGCUGAAGAUGCUAGAUAGACAGAUAUCAAUAUCUCCAAAUGUAGCUGAACCUCUGAGCUAUACAGUGAUGGAAGCCACCUGAUUUUGCUAAUGCUGUGACAGUGUGCGCCAAACAGCAAUCACUGGUGUGAAUUUUUCCUUUAUUAUUUGUUCAAAUUUAAAGUUGUUAAUGAAUUGAGGAAUGGGAGUGGGUAAAAUUAACUGUUUUUUAAAAGCUGAUUCAGCAUCCAUGUUCAUAUUACAUAAUUCAUGAACAAUUAAAUUAGAUUUAAUUCUUCAUGUGUAACUGAUAAGGUUGUAUCUGAGGAUUUGUACAGGUUUAAUAAUGCUUGCAUUAUCAGGUUUACAUAAUUUGCCUUUUUCUAAAUCAAAACUCAGAUUUAAAUAAAAUUAUAAUUUUGCUACUGAUGAAUUAAAAAAUUCCAAGUAAGCAACAGAGACAAUUAAUUUUGUUAAUUUAAUUUCUAUCAGUAUGCGAUAGAUUUCAUCCACAAUGAAUAAUUAAAUUAUAUGUAGUACUUCACUAAAACUUGCAUAUAAAUCUUACACUUAUUUAUAGAAUAAAAAUGCUUGUGGUGACUUGAA